UCCAACUUUCACCACGGGAUUUCUUGGCUCUCGAAUCGAUGAAGAAGGCAGCAAAAUGCAAUAAGUAAUUUAAAUGGCAGAAUUCAGUGAUUCAUGGAAUCUUUGAACGCCCCUUGCGCCCCUUGGAAUUCCGAGGGGCAGCCCUGUUUGAGUGUC
rnacentral:rRNA from 1 species